rnacentral:misc_RNA from 2 species
AAGUCGUAACAAGGUUUCCGUAGGUGAACCUGCGGAAGGAUCAUUACAGUAUUCUUUUGCCAGCGCUUAAUUGCGCGGCGAAAAACCUUACACACUAUGUUUUUUUAAUUUGAAACUAUUGCUUUGGUCUGGCUUAGAAAUAGGUUGGGCCAAAGGUUUUAUCAAAACUUCAAUAUUUAUUAUUGAAUUGUUAUUUUUAAUUUUAUGUCAAUUUGUUGAUUAAUAUCAAAAAUCUUCAAAACUUUCAACAACGGAUCUCUUGGUUCUC